UAUCUCUGUAGAGUCUGCAUAUCAAUAAGCGGAGGAAAAGAAACUAACAAGGAUUCCCCUUAGUAACGGCGAGUGAAGCGGGAAGAGCUCAAAUUUGAAAUCUUCAAGGUUUGACCUUGACGAAUUGUAGUUUAAAGAAGUGUUUUCGGUUAGAGGAGUAGUAAAAGUUCCUUUGGAAUAGGACAUCAUAGAGGGUGAGAAUCCCGUAUUUGACUAUUCUUUCUAGCUUUGUGAUACACUUUCAAAGAGUCGGAUUGUUUGGGAAUGCAGUCCAAAAUGGGUGGUAAAUUUCAUCUAAAGCUAAAUAUUGGCGAGAGACCGAUAGCGAACAAGUACCGUGAGGGAAAGAUGAAAAGAACUUUGAAAAGAGAGUUAAACAGUACGUGAAAUUGUCAAAAGGGAAGCGUUUGACACCAGUGUUGUUUUUCCGAAAAUCAAUUAAAAAUUGAUUCAUGCCAGGUUGUAUUGACCUUAUCAGCUUGCAAUUUGGUUUUGGGUCUCUUUUUGAUGCACUUUUCGGUUAACAAGUCAACAUCAAUUUCCUUUGCUGUAAAAAGGUAAGAGGAAGGUGGCUUCAAUUUCGGUUGAAGUGUUUAUAGCCUUUUAUCUCUGCAGUCGGGGAGAUUGAGGUCUGCAGCGUAGAUCCUUCGGGGCUAGAUACAUUUAUGCUAAGUUAUAGCUUUUCAUAGACAACUUGUUGACUAUGUUUAGUCAUGUAGCUUACUCGUAAGUGCUAUUUUACCUACGCUUAGGAUGUUGAAGACUCUACAGAGAUA
rnacentral:rRNA from 1 species